GAUGAACGCUGGCGGCGUGCCUAUACAUGCAAGUCGAGCGAAUGGAUUAAGAGCUUGCUCUUAUGAAGUUAGCGGCGGACGGGUGAGUAACACGUGGGUAACCUGCCCACAAGACUGGGAUAACUCCGGGAAACCGGGGCUAAUACCGGAUCACAUUUUGAACCGCAUGGUUCGAAAUUGAAAGGCGGCUUCGGCUGUCACUUAUGGCUGGCACAGGGUCGCAUUAGCUAAUUGGUGAGGUAACGGCUCACCAAGGCGACGAUGCGUGGCCGCCCUGAGAGGGUGAUCGGCCAAACUGGGACUGGGACAAGGCCCAGACUCCUACGGGAGGCAGCAGUAGGGAAUCUUCCGCAAUGGACGAAAGUCUGACGGAGCAACGCCGCGUGAGUGAUGAAGGCUUUCGGGUCGUAAAACUCUGUUGUUAGGGAAGAACAAGUGCUAGUUGAAUAAGCUGGCACCUUGACGGUACCUAACCAGAAAGCCACGGCUAACUACGUGCCAGCCGCCGCGGUAA
rnacentral:rRNA from 1 species